CCCAGUUUCCCCACCAAUUCCGUUUUUUUUUUUUUUUUUUCUUCCGAUUCCCCAUUUUCUAUUUCCUCUUCCUCUUCCCCUGAUUUCCCCAUUUUUAUUUGUUCCGGAGAAAUUAGUUUCCUAACAGAGAAACCCUAUCAGAGAAAGGGGUACAGUUUCAUGGUGGAUAUCGUUGGUUACUCAGUGGAGUCUUCUUGAUCGUAACUUCUUGUAACACGGUUAUUCUCACCUGGAUUCGAAGCAGGGG